UUUAGAAUGCUCUGAAGGUGAUUUAACUGACCCGUACCAAACUGACCAGCCACUCUGAACUGGGUGCCCUGACCCAGAUAAGGAAACUGAGGCACUGAGAGGCUGAAUAGCUUGUCCAAGUCAGUGGAUGAGCCAAGAUUUACAACCUGGCAGACUGCUGUAGUCUAUGAACUUACCUUCUUCCCUCCACACCCCAGAUACUCCAGUUUCCUUGGAUCUUGUAGUUAACAUGACUUCAAAGGCACUAGGGCUUCAAAGUGGCAUUUAAAUUUAAGAAUAGUCAAAGGUCUCUGUGGAGAUAAAUGAGAUAAAAUACAAAGGCAUCCUGAAAAAUGGUGGUACCUGCUCAAGUAAUAUUAGCUACUAUCCCUAUUUGAGCAAGAACAUUGUAAUGGCACCUAGAAAAAUGUUUUGUCGUCAAAUCACUGAGGUCAGCCAAUAAGGUAUCUUUUGGGCCUGAAAAGUUCUUGUCAUGACUCUCAUGAAUUGCAGAAAAGUAUACCCUCUUUGGUCAGAGUGCCUGGAUUUAAAUCCUGUAUCUGCCACUUACUAGCUUGUGAUUCUGGGCAAGUUGCUUAAUGUCUCUGUAUUUCUGUUUGCUCACUUAUAUAAUUUGUGUAAUAAUAGUACUCUCAUUGGUUGUUAUGAAGAUAAAAUAAGUUAAUAUUUAUAGAUUUCGCACAGCAGUGAUUUACACACAAUUACUACUACAUAGGUGUUUGUUAAGUAAAUACCUUCACAAUGUCUUGCUCAUUUAAACUCUAAUAAUGGUAUUAGACUGUAUGGUUUAUUUAGUCACAUACAUUUCUGGCAUUUUUUGGUUUAUGGCUCAAAUAGAAAAUUAUAUCAUACCUUGUAGAGGUAAGCAGAAGUACAAGCUUUCGGAUAUUCUGCAAAUAUUAUUUUACAUAGCUGAAUAGUUCACCUUCAUGAUGCUGACAAGUCUUGGUUGAUUUAUUAUUUUUGGAAUGUGGUGUCCAUUGUGUAUUUAAACUGAAAUAAUACAAGUAAAAUUGUGAAUUUGUUAUAUAUUCUCAAAUUUUGAAUUUGUUAUAUAUUCUCAAUUUUGAAUUUGUUAUAUAUUCUCAAAGAUGUCUGACAUUAUAUAUCAUCCACAUAAUAAUUUGAGUUCAUACACGAAGGAGAAAGCCUGAAUAAAAGUGCAGUUACCUUG
rnacentral:lncRNA from 1 species